UGGGGAAUCUUGCACAAUGGGGGCAACCCUGAUGCAGCGACGCCGCGUGAGCGAUGAAGCCCUUCGGGGCGUAAAGCUCUUUCGACCGGAACGAUAAUGACGGUACCGGGAGAAGAAGCUGCGGCUAACUACGUGCCAGCAGCCGCGGUAAUCCGUAGGCAGCAAGCGUUGUUCGGAGUUACUGGGCGUAAAGAGUGCGUAGGCGGUUUUCUAAGUUCGGUGUGAAAUCUCCCGGCUUAACUGGGAGGGUGCGCCGAAGACUGGGAAGCUGGAGUGGGGGAAAGGCAGGCGGAAUUCCUGGUGUAGCGGUGAAAUGCGUAGAUAUCAGGAGGAACACCUGCGGUGUAGACGGCUUGCUAGACCAUAACUGACGCUGAGGCACGAAAGCGUGGGUAGCAAACA
rnacentral:rRNA from 1 species